UUUUCAAAAAAAAGUGUACCCCUCACUUUUGGCCUGUCCCCUGUGUUUCAAGUCGAAUAACGAGUAAAAUUUAUAUGAUGGCUAAUUAUUGUAAUGCUUUAAAAGUAUUAAAUACAUCAUAAUUUGAUAAAUUCAAACAAUAAAUUCACGGAAACAUUGCGUACUAUUUUUUAAAUAAUCAUUUUUAAAACUAAAGUGUCAAUUUUUGGCGUGUCCCCAUCCGAGUUCUUCGAUGUUAGAGAAGCGAUUCUAAAAAGUUUUAUACCAGGGUACCAUAAGUUUUAGUGUCGUUUAAAAGUACAUUUAUUUGCGAAUCGUCCCAUGUAGUUCAUAAUUAGGGCCUUAUAAUCGUUUAAAAGCAAUUUGAUUUCCAAAAAUAUCUUAAAAAGUGGUACCGACCGGACAUGUCGGGUUUAUCACGGCUAAUAAUGCCACUUACAAAUUUUAGAUUACUAUUUCAAUUUUAUAAAUGGCAAAAUUAUCGUUUACUUUCACCGUCCGCUAUUUUAAAAAAGCUUGUUUUCAAAUGCAGUUCGAGUAAAACAGAUGUGUUUUGUGAGUGCAACGGCCGUUGAAAUUUCUACUGUCUGGUUUGAGACAUAUUAUUACUUGAUACAGGUAUCACUAAUCUCGGGACCAAAAAGGACAUGUAUAAUUUGCAAAAAAUGGUAUUGCCACAUUGCAAUGAAGGCGUUGGUCAGCAGGUGGUCAGCAGGUAUACCCUGAAUACAUAAUAAUAUGUGAUACAUGUAUGGAAAGUUAAAAGAUUGGAAAACAUUCUAAGUUCCACAAAGCUCCAACAACAUGGUUAUUUUUCAGUUGCAACUGAUCUCUAUUAAAUUUAUGAGGAACGGUAAACGGUUCCUAAAUUGUGAUAAGGUUCCAGUUAAUAUAAUGUUCGUAACUUUUUACAUCGUUUUUUUAUUCGUAUUACUUCGUGUCCUAAGAAGUAGUAUUUACCUUAACGGUAUCUUAUUAUUUAUUUAGACUUAUUGGGUUAACAGUACUUCUAAAGACAUCCGUAUAACCGGCUAAAGAUAUUAUAUCCUAUUUAUAUUUUGCGAAACUCGCCAUAACUCUGAGUUUUGCCCUAAAAUUGAUACUGUGUCAAACUGUGUGUUGAUGUACUUUUUUUAUGAGACUAAAAUAAAAUUUUUGUAAACGUA